AAGAGAUAAGUGCUGAAAGCAUCUAAGCACGAAACUUGCCCCGAGAUGAGUUCUCCCUGACUCCUUGAGAGUCCUGAAGGAACGUUGAAGACGACGACGUUGAUAGGCCGGGUGUGUAAGCGCAGCGAUGCGUUGAGCUAACCGGUACUAAUGAGCCGUGAGGCUUAACCUUACAACGCCGAAGGUGUUU
rnacentral:rRNA from 1 species